GACGAACGCUGGCGGCGUGCCUAAUACAUGCAAGUCGAGCGGACUUUCAAGAAGCUUGCUUUUUGAAAGUUAGCGGCGGACGGGUGAGUAAAACGUGGGCAACCUGCCUGCAAGACGGGGAUAACUCCGGGAAACCGGGGCUAAUACCGGAUAAUAUCUUCCUUCGCAUGAAGGAAGGUUGAAAGGCGGCGCAAGCUGCCGCUUGCAGAUGGGCCCGCGGCGCAUUAGCUAGUUGGUGAGGUAACGGCUCACCAAGGCGACGAUGCGUAGCCGACCUGAGAGGGUGAUCGGCCACACUGGGACUGAGACACGGCCCAGACUCCUACGGGAGGCAGCAGUAGGGAAUCUUCCGCAAUGGACGAAAGUCUGACGGAGCAACGCCGCGUGAGCGAAGAAGGUCUUCGGAUCGUAAAGCUCUGUUGUCAGGGAAGAACAAGUACCGUUCGAACAGGGCGGUACCUUGACGGUACCUGACCAGAAAGCCACGGCUAACUACGUG
rnacentral:rRNA from 1 species